UACAGAGGUGGCAAGCGUUGUUCGGAAUUACUGGGCGUAAAGGGCGCGUAGGCGGCCUUCUAAGUCAGACGUGAAAUCCCCCGGCUUAACCUGGGAACUGCGUCUGAUACUGGGAGGCUUGAGUAUGGGAGAGGGAUGUGGAAUUCCAGGUGUAGCGGUGAAAUGCGUAGAUAUCUGGAGGAACACCGGUGGCGAAGGCGGCAUCCUGGACCGGUAUUGACGCUGAGGCGCGAAAGCUAGGGGAGCAAACAGG
rnacentral:rRNA from 1 species